rnacentral:rRNA from 1 species
AUUGAACGCUGGCGGCAGGCUUAACACAUGCAAGUCGAGCGGGGACUUCGGUCCUAGCGGCGAACGGGUGAGGAAUGCUUGGGAAUCUGCCCAGUAGCGGGGGAUAACGUUUCGAAAGGAACGCUAAUACCGCAUACGCCCUACGGGGGAAAGGGGGGGAUCUUCGGACCUCUCACUAUUGGAUGAGCCCAAGUCGGAUUAGCUAGUUGGUGGGGUAAAGGCCUACCAAGGCGACGAUCCGUAGCUGGUCUGAGAGGAUGAUCAGCCACACUGGAACUGAGACACGGUCCAGACUCCUACGGGAGGCAGCAGUGGGGAAUAUUGGACAAUGGGCGAAAGCCUGAUCCAGCCAUGCCGCGUGUGUGAAGAAGGCCUUCGGGUUGUAAAGCACUUUAAGCGAGGAGGAAUGGCUCUUGGUUAAUAACCUUGAGCAGUGACGUUACUCGCAGAAUAAGCACCGGCUAACUCUGUGCCAGCAGCCGCGGUAAAAC